AAAAGCAUGGGAUAUAUCCAUGUCGAAGCCAGUAGAUAGAAAACGUAGAAAGACGAAGGAAUAACGCGACGGAAUUAAUUUUCGGUUUUGUGAUAUCGUGUAAUAAUAAAGUACCGUUUAAAGAUAAGUUUGUUAAGUUUAAGGAUUUACUUAGAUCUUCGAGGCCUUUGAAAAAUAAUCCUUACUUUAAUAAUCGAUCUGAUUGCUUUCGAAGAAAGAACUUUUAACGCGAACAGAAUACCGUGAUUAAUAAUAAUAGAAUUAAUCUGGUAUUGCUCGUUAAUUAUCUUACCUUUCCUACUUUUUUUCUCUUUUUAUAUAUUUGUUUCUUUGAUCUUCUUUUUUUUUUUUUUCUUUUUUUAUUCAACAAUUUAAAGACUACAAAUUAUCCUUACCGAUAAGAGAGAGAAGAAACGAUUAAUCUCGCUCUCUUUCUCUCUCUUUAUCGAAAGAUUAUCAUUAUUUACGAUUUUCUUAGAAGAAAGAAAGAAAGAGGAAAAAAAAAGAAAGAAAGAAAGAAAGAAAUCAAACGCAAUAACAAGAUACUUAAGAUAAUUCUUUUAAUAAUAACAUUAUUAAAUUAAAAUGGAUAUAAGACGAGAAAGAAAAAGAUGAAUUACCAAAAGUGGAUUCUAACGUUGAAUUGUUUUUUAUUGAUUUACAUUGUAUACGUCGUAAGUGCAAACGAUCGAUUAAAAGAGAAGAAGAAUAUGAUUAAUAAGCUCGAUGAUAAAAAUGAUUUCAUUCCAUUUAAUCGAGGUACAGUGAUAGAUACGAGAAAUGAUUUAAUAAUACGGGCACCUGUAAGAAGAAAAAUCGUUUGUGAAUAUGAUAGAAGACCGGACGCUUUUGGAAGAUGUAGGAAGAAGUUGUAAAUGAACAUUAUGAUCGAACAAUCAUUACAAGUGAAUCUUCCAGUAAGAUGUGGAUUUGGAAUAUAAGGGGAUGGCGAUUGUGAACGAUGAAAGGGUAGAGAAAGGAAGAUAAUAAUAACAAUUAAAAAAUAAUAAAAAGAGGAUAGAAAAGAAUCGAACGAAACGACGAUGACGACGGAAUGAAAGAAGGAAUGAGAGAGGAAAAAAAAAAGGAAAAACAAAAAGAAAUACACGUCGGAUCGACUUGAAUCGAAUUGAUAGUCGACGAACUGUUUGCUUAUAGACGGAAGAAACUCAUCGCUCUCUCUCUCUCUCUCUCUCUCUCUCUCUGUUCGUCUCUGCCCAUCGCAUUUCUCUCAUUUAUAUCGUCAAUACCAAAACUCUAUCUAUAUAGAAUGAAGAUAUUCUUGAUUCUGGACAACACGGCGGCGAGAAGAAAGCCAAUCAAGCAAGCCUCGAAAUGCUUCCUUAUCGAUCGAGCUGUUCCUCUCUCUCUCUCUCUCUCUCUCUCUCUAUCUUUUGCUCUAUGAUCGCCAUGAUAACAGUAUCAAGGAAUGAAGAUGAUGUUCAAAUUUUAAAAUGGAAAAUCGUCGGAGAGAAAUCACGAAGAAGAAGAACCGAUUGAAUAUCGAAUUGAAGAAGAGUAUAAAAUUGAUAGAUUACGAACUUUCUCUCUCUCUCUCUCUCUCUCUUUUCUCAUCUAUUAUGUAGAUUAAUAUUGUUCAUCGUAAAUUUGUUCAUUGUAAAUUUGCUUUCGAAAGAGACAUGACUUUUUGUCAAUAUAUACUAAUUUAUAUUUACACAUAUAAAAGUAUGUAAUACAUAUAUAUAUAUGUAUUAAUAUAUAUAUAUAUGUAAAAAGAAAUAUAUGAUAUAUAUGUAUAUUUCUUUUUCUUUUACUUUUUUCCUUUCCUUCCUUUCUUUCUUUCUUUCUUUCUUUUUAAAAGAAUAUUUCAAUGUAAAUAAGAUUUCUUUAUGAGAAAAUUAACACAUUGAUUUUACAUUUAAAUAUUUCCGCGUGAAAUUGUACGUAUCUACUAUACCGACGAUGAAACAUGUCGGCGUUGGAUGUAUCGCACGUUGAUAGGAAAGGUAGAGUAAACGGAACAAUGAUAUCAACUCUUUAGAUCGUUGGUUACAUUUCACAUACAAUUUCUCAAAAUAUAUAUUUAUACAUAUACAUAUUUAUAUAUAUACAUACAUAUAUAUAUGUAUAUAUAUGUAUGUAUGUACCUAUGUACAUAGACGCAUACAUUUAAUAUAAAUUAUUAGCGGUAACGAUAUCAUUAAUCAUUAUUCAAGUCAGGUAUAAUUUGCAUUCGUUUACCAAAGUCCAACGUGAGAAGAUUAGAUUAUUUUCAAUAAUUCAACAUUUUGUUAAAUGAUCAAGACGAAAAUAAUAUUGACCGCAGCUCGCUCAGAAUAAUAAUACUCGUGAGGCGUGGAGGAAACGGCGGGAGAGGAUCGAGGGAGGAGAGAGAAAUAACUGGCAGAGGGUGUUUUACUAUUAAACGAUCUUAUUAUUAAAAUGAAUUAUAUGUAAUGACGUUAAUAAAAGGAUAGAUAUUAUAUUAUAUCGAAUGAUUAAACUUAAGCCAUAGUUGUGUAUAAUUUUCUCUAAUAUCUCGUUUAAUAAAUUUAAACGAUUCGAGCAGAGAAACUCGAUUUAACAUAUAAUCUUUUUCUUAUUAAAUGUAUAAAACCAAUUCUAUCAUGAUUUUAAUUUUAUUAUGUUAUUCGAUGUAUUUUAUAAACCCCAUGUCAUAAAUUAUUAUGAAAAUAAUUAUGUACGUGUGUAUGGUACAUUCUCAUUCGAUUUCUAGUUAAACAUUUUGAAACCGCAAACUGUAAUAAAAUCAUAAGAAAGUCUUUAACAGGAAAAAGGAAACCACGUUAGUUGGGUUAAUAAAUGCGUCACGUCAUCGACCGACAACGAGUUUAUAAUAACUGCAUGUUCUAAAAUAAUUUCCAUUGUAUUUUCAUUGUUAAAGCGACCAAGUAGUAAUAAAAUUGUCUACCUUUGUCAAAAUUAAUAGCCGAUCGGAAAACGACGUAAACAUAAGAAAUAAAGAUAAGAAAGAAAUUUAAAAAAAAAAAAAAAAAAGAAAGAAAAGAAAAAAAGAAAGAAAAAGAAAAAAGAAGAGAAAAAAUUGUUUCAUCGUCUCAACUCAGAUCGAGUUAAUAUCCUUAAGUACGGUGUGAAAGAGGAUAACAAUAACUGCAAGAGAGAAAGCUAUAAAAAGAAAAAAAAAAAAGAAGAAAAAAAAAAGAAUAAGAAAAAGAGAAAAGCAUGAUACCCUUUCGUUUUUUUCUGAUCGUCAUUCUUCUCUCAUUGACGUUUCAGCUUGGAACCGAGGCCUUUUCGUGGAUCAUUCCGAUCAAAAAAAGAAUCAAAAGCCAUUCUCGAUGUCCGGAUGGGUAUAAAAUGAAUGUUCGUGGGAAAUGUCGGCGCAUUUUAUAUAAAUAUUAAGGUUUAAGAAAGAACGAGAUGGUA